rnacentral:rRNA from 1 species
GACGAACCGAGCGAACGUUGUUCGGAAUCACUGGGCUUAAAGGGCGCGUAGGCGGGCUGUCAAGUCUGGGGUGAAAUCCCGCGGCUCAACCGUGGAACUGCCUUAGAUACUGACGGCCUCGAGGGAGAUAGGGGCGAGCGGAACUGUGAGUGGAGCGGUGAAAUGCGUUGAUAUUCACAGGAACUCCGGUGGCGAAGGCGGCUCGCUGGAUCUCUUCUGACGCUGAGGCGCGAAAGCUAGGGGAGCGAACGGG